rnacentral:tRNA from 1 species
UCCCUGAUAGCUUAGUUGGUAAAGAAUCUGCCUGCAAUGCAGGAGACCCCGGUUCGAUACCUGGGUUGGGAC